AUUUAAUAGUGUUUAUCCAAGCGAGUUUGUGAUUUCUUCACUCUCUCCAACAAAUAUGUUAUUUGUAAUAGCUAUCUUCUCUCAUCUAGGUGUUUGAAAAAUGUCUCUAACGUGUGUGGGCUGGAAUGCAUUUUGUUUUUCUGUAGGUAUGUUCAUUUAACAAGGGUCUCUGAAGAGCUAUCAAAAACUGCUUGCCAUCUUUUCAAAUCAUCUCUGUCUGCAGUGACCAUGUCUUAAUCCUGAAGGAAAACAAGACAUGGUAAUUAGAAACCAGGAAGACUGAGAAAGAAUCAGAUGUGCAGCAGCUCAGUAAGUGGUAGACCUGGAACAAGAAGCCAGUUUUCUGAGCUCCUGAAGCAAGGCCCCGCCUCCCACUUUGUCUUUCCCCAGGAGAGGAGGAUGUGACUGACCUCAGACACAGGAAUUCAGACAUCUUACUGCCUGCCUUUUUGCCAUUAAGAAAACAGAUACUGGCUCCCCAAACCCAGGAUUAAGAAAGAAGCUGGAAGAACUCUCAGAAUAGUUUUCAAGACCAUGAGUGCCCUUGCCAAAACUCAGUGGAAAAGUCUCUAGAGAAACAGAGGUCAUAGAAGUUUAAAGCUAAUGCCAUUAGUGAUACAGAUGUCACACUGAGGAUUUCUGAAGUAGGAAAAGAAAAGUUAGGAAUACAUCUUUUAAAGCAUAUAGGUACAAAAACUCUAGCAGACAUAAUGUUAUUCUAUAAUUUAUCAAAGAACUUCCACAAAUACAAGGAAAUUUUUGUUGAAUUUAAUUUGGUUUAUUCAUUCAGCCACGUUGCUUUUAAACUAACAAUUUUUAAGCAAUGGCAAUAUACAAAGAAUUUACAUACCUUUGUUCUUUAAUUAAUUAGCUAAACAGAUAUUUAUCAAGAGCCUGCUAUGUACCAGGCACGUUUAGCCACUCUGAAUAAAUAGGAAACAGAAUAGGCAGAAAUCCCUGCCAUCGUGUAAUAGAGUGAAUAGACAAUAUACAAGAAAACUCAGUAAAUUAUGUAGUAUUUCAGACUGUGAUAAGUACAAAAGAAAAAUAUUAAAGUAGGGGAGAGCAGUAUGAAAUAUUAGGGGUGUGGAAAUUUCCGAUGGUGAAGUUUUGGAGAAAAUGAUUUUCAAAUAAAGACCUACAGGAAAUGGGUUGAUCUUAUGGCUCCAGUUUUCAUGAUAGAAAUCUGAAGCCUAACAGGCUCCAAUCGACUGGUCCCAGUUCUCCUGGCCUCUGGGAUCCUUCCUCCCCCAGCUGCCACCCACUCUGAAAAACACCAGGAAGGGCAGCGGGCAAAGCAAACAUUAGUCAGCUGCAGACUCUCUCCUGGAGGAGCUUCUGGGGCUGGGGAGGAAGACAGGGCACAGAUCACUGUAAUCUGUGGUACCGAGUGAUUUGUAAAGCACCAUGACGAGUCAGUGGAAACUGAGAAGUGCUUAAGCAGGAGUUCUGUUUAUCACUGAGAAUGGCAAAGGGCCAGAAAAGCAUUCAAUCGAUAGAAUCCUCAAAACAGUUUUUCAGAAAACAAGCUGGUCACAGCUGCCUUUUGAUUUUUUUUUCUGUUCUUGUGAUAUGAAGCAAAAACCGAAAGCAAAUGAGAGAAAAGACAAGCUUCCAUGUAGCAUCUUGUAACAGCUGCAUUAUUUGAAGCUUGUGAGUGAAGAAGGGUCAGGGUUUUGGCCACUUUUGGUUAGCGUUCCUCCAAACGCAGCAGGCUCCACAUGUACGCUGGCAGCCAGAAGCUGCCAUUUGGAAACAGAGGGGCCUUGUCUGGCAUCUUAUUCCUUAUGUGCUUGCCUGUCAGUCAGCCUUCAGCCACCUGUGUUCUUUCCAUUAUGUUUUUGUUUCUUGUAAUAAAGUGGAUUUUCUUUCUUUGAGAAUGAGCAUAAAGAUACCCAGAAAAUAAAACCAGGUGCCUCUUUGCAAGGCUCCUCAAGCAAGCACACAGAUGAGGCAUCUCAGCCUCUCCUGUAGCUUUCCCGAGAGGAAAAUGCUGCUGCUGACAUGAAUAGCAGAGGCCAGACAAUGAUUCUUAGGGAAGAUAAACAGCCUUCCAUUCCCUCCUGAUGGCUCCCACUCCUUUCCUUGAUGACUGAUUCUGGAGCAAAAGGUCACGGGAUAAUUCUGCACCUGCAGCCUGGGAGGACCAUACUCAGUCCUCAGAAAGGCUGUCCCAUAAUUGAUGCUAAUUAUUAUUGAGUCAAAUGCAUCAUUUCAUUGAGGGGCAGGUGGGAGACUCCGUCACUGUCAAGGCCAUUAUACCAAGAACAAGUUUAGAAUUCUUUGCACACAUGUGCCUAUACCCAAGAAGUCCCAAGUGUUGUAUGCAGGUGGUUCCUAAGGAAUAUAUAAUCAAAAAUUUCUUUAAUUCUAUAAUGAUAUGUUCAGGACUCAGGUGAAUGACAAAUGCUACCCAGUACCCAGGGACAGAAUAUUGAGUGGUGGAGCAUGAUUUAUUCAUAAGAGCUUGAAAUCUACUGCUGGGCCUUUGGGUUGCAUGUGAGAGUUUGUACCCAGCCAUCUGCACUCUGAGAGAGGUUAACAACAGCUCUCGGGACCUUGGAACCCUCUGGGAAUUUGCUUCUAUGGAUAUUCAUCUUCUUUCUGGUGACUUUUAUGAAAGGAUAGACCCAGCGAGGAAAAUGAAGAAAAGAGAGGAAAUGAAAGGAAAUGCAUUCAUGCAUUCAGAUCUAGGUAGAGAAUGAGUGGAUUUAGCUGAAUGCCAGACUGUAUAUGGGGACUUUCACUUGAUAUUAACCACCCUUUGUUUUGGAGAAGAGUUUAAAAAAUGUUAUUUUUUUCUUGCUUUAAUUCAUCAUUUCUACUUUUCUCCCUAUAGAGUAUAACUUAAUAGUUUUUAAAGAUUUUUCAUGUAUCAAAAUAACAUUGCAAAAGUGUACAGUGAUACAUGGUAUUCACAUUUACAACUUUAUUCUGAAUUUUGAUUGUUGUACUUGUAAAAACACAACAAUAGUCCUUACACCAACUAUUGAUUGGAUAAAAAAGGGCCUACAUUUUCACUUAUUUAUCCAAAAACUAUUAUACUCAGACCAUUUUUGGGCAUUUAUUCUGGGUUCUGACACAAAGAUAGGAAAGGCCUUAUCCUCAUUUUUAUGACAGUACUUUAAAGAUGAUGCUUUACUUUCUUCUAACUUGCAUUAUUUCUAAUGAGAGCUCUAAUGCCAUCCUUAUCUUUAUAUCCUGGCAUGUAAUAUGUCUUUUCUUCUCAGGCUGCGUUAAAAUUUUUUCUGUUUAUUACAGGCUAUAGGCAAUUUAAUUAUGUUAGGCCUCCGUGUAAAUUUCUUCAAGCUCUUUUGUUCAAUCCCAUUGAGCUUUUUGGAUCAUUUUCAUCUAAUUUAGAAUUUUUUUGUUCUUAAUUCUUCAGUUAUAUUUCUGUCCUCUUCUUUCAAUGCAGGGACUGCAAACCACAUAUAUGCUCAAAGUGGGACUGCAGUUUGCUGAUGGUCUAUUCAUGUUUUUCAUUCUCUUUUCUUUCCAUAUUUUAUUUUUUGAUCAUUUUCAUUGCUAGAACUUUAAAUGCACUAAUAUUUUUUCUAAUGUUUAAUCCAUUGUUAAUCUCAUUUUCUAGAUAUUGUUUAGCUCUAGAAGUACUAUUUGUCUUUUUAAUACUUGUACAUCUCUUUUAAUAUG